GCAAUGCCGCGUGCAGGAUGAAGGCCUUCGGGUUGUAAACUGCUUUUGUACGGAACGAAACAGUCCUUUCUAAUAAAGAGGGCGAAUGACGGUACCGUAAGAAUAAGCACCGGCUAACUACGUGCCAGCAGCCGCGGUAAUACGUAGGGUGCAAGCGUUAAUCGGAAUUACUGGGCGUAAAGCGUGCGCAGGCGGUGAUGUAAGACAGAUGUGAAAUCCCCGGGCUCAACCUGGGACCUGCAUUUGUGACUGCAUCGCUAGAGUACGGUAGAGGGGGAUGGAAUUCCGCGUGUAGCAGUGAAAUGCGUAGAUAUGCGGAGGAACACCGAUGGCGAAGGCAAUCCCCUGGACCUGUACUGACGCUCAUGCACGAAAGCGUGGGGAGCAAACAGGAUUAGAUACCCUGGUAGUCCACGCCCUAAACGAUGUCAACUGGUUGUUGGGUCUUCACUGACUCAGUAACGAAGCUAAC
rnacentral:rRNA from 1 species